rnacentral:tRNA from 10 species
CAAGUGUUUAUUUAAAAUAUAAAACCUUAACUCAGCAAAAAGGAAAGAAAUCAACUAGGAAAACAAAAAACAAAGGCAUGCAUGGCAAUCUGCAGCCCCAGUGAGCUAGAUCUAGUUCUGUAGGUUUGGGGUGGAUGUUUUCUACAUCAUGCUGUUGUCUUCUUGAUCUGAAGCUCUUGGUUUGAAGACGUCUUCUUCUGACUAUCUGCUUCUGAAACAUUCUUAAGAAUCCUUAUGUUAAAUCUCUCAAUGGAAUGGCAGUACAGUACAAAGGAAGUUUGAAACUUUGUGUGAUUUUUAGCAAGGGCACAUGAAUCCAAGGAUUUACACUAUGGAGUUAAACUGCUGUGUUAGUGGUUAGAAGUACCUGACACCAUUGUUCCCAAUGUAGUUCCAAGACAUUUUUUAUCCUUUUUCAGAAGAUAAAGUCUCUGAGUUUUAUCACAUAGAAUUUGUUUAGGAGGUUGUGAAGGAAGAGCAAUUUGUAUAUGUUGUUGAUAAGAUUAAGUAUAUUGCACGAGUUCUUCAAAGAACUUUGCUAUGCCUUGAUGUCUGAUGGAAGUAAUUUAGAGUCCAAAAUUAGAAGAGAAAUAUUUAACCUCUUAUGGUGAUAUGUAAUAAUUUUGAUGAUAUUUUAUGGGUCUCAGAGGUAAAGGAUUUCAUGGUUAUGAGGACAUUGUUAGGCAACAAGCCAAAUAGUGAUAGACAAUUUUACUCAUUUGAAUUUAAGCAUGACAUUGUCUCUUUCUACUUUCCUGAGGAUUGAGAGUGAUCUGGACCAUAAAGUUGUUUAUGUGGCAAAGACUUUAAAGUUCUAUAAUAACAGUCCCAGGGAAAUGAAUAUUUUUAUCACUGGAGAGAUAAGUUGGAAUUCCCUGUGCUAGGUACAUAAAAUUAGUUAAACUUUUGCUACUGUCUGAGCCAUAGCUCUUUGGUAGGAACAGCUUCAUUUUAUCCUGAGAAUAAUCACUGAUCUGGACAUAUUAAAAACUCAUUAGAAACUCAAUAUGGAACCUAUUUGGAGUUUUUCAAAGGGACUGGGAAACUUGCGUUCUUGACCAUGUCUUACUCUUACAGUUUACCAUUAUUAAACUGGUGACAGAUAAGAUAGGCAUCAGAGACACACUAAAAAAUGUCUGUAAUAUUCUCCCUUCCUCUAACCAAGCAUUGACUGAGUACAAAGGCCAAUCUGUCUUUGAUCUUGUGAGUAAUAUCAUGUAAAAUUUUACAAAGUUCCACUUGAAGGUCUCUGGUACACCCAAGGAGUUAUAUUGAAAGCGCUAGGAGUGUCCUCAUGUACUUUGCAUACAGAUUUAUCUCAAUAACCCUCUGUCAUUAAGCAUAUGGUAUAUAUCUCUAUUUUUUUGUUUGGUGAGAUAUUUUUAUUUUGGAAUAAACAGUAUCAGUAGCAAUAAACUAAAAAAAAGAAAGUGCAUGUAUAAUGAAAUCUUAUGGUCUGUCUCUUUCUCAAUAAAGUUGAUAAAGAAUAUUUAAGCUAUAUAAAUAUUUGACAAUAUUUAUCAUCCAUCACAGAGGCCAUAAUAUAUCUCUGACCAUGUGGAAACUUGAAAAUCUAAGUAUCCUGAAAAACAUAAAUCAUCAUCUGUUCCAAACUUUAUUAGAUACUUGAAGCUCCAGAAGCAUUGUUCAGACUUCAGAAAUGCUUGAGUCUUUGAAGAACUGCCUUGUCAUUCAACCUAAGUAUCUUACUGUGGUAACAAACUUUUUUUUUUUUUUUUUUUUUUUUGAGACGGAGUUUCACUCCUGUUGCCCAGGCUGGAAUGCAAUGGCAUGAUCUUGGCUCACUGCAACCUCUGCCUCCUGGGUUCAAGCGAUUCUCCUGUCUCAGCCUCCUGAGUAGCUGGGAUUACACGCGCAUGCCAACAUGCCCGGCUAAUUUUUGUAUUUUUGGUAGAGACAGGGUUUCAACAUAUUGGUCAGGCUGGUCUCGAACUCCUGACCUCAGGUGAUCCACCCGCCUCGGCCUCCCAAAACACUGAGAUUACAGGUGUGAGCCACUGAGCCCGGCCGGUAGCAAACUUUUAAAUAAUGACUUCCCUAAAUCUUGGUUACAUUUCCCUGAAAAAUCAAUGAGAAAUCUUGAAUUAAAUAUUCAACAAGUGGAAUGCCAAGAGUCUCCAUCUUUUGGAGAAUAAUUGAAAAUAAAUCUUAUAAACAGAAUUAUUGAAAAUAAAGCUUAAAAGCAGGAUUGUUUGGAAAUUUCUCAAUAUAAAAGCAAAGGAAUAAAUGAACAAUUUAAAUAGUAGGAGUUCAAACAGCAAGUAAGAUUUAGUUUGAAGUUCUAGAAUUGCUUUCGGAAUAAGCUGAUUUUGAUGGAACUCCCAUUUUCGUGGACUAAUUUAGAUUCUGUACAAGAAUAGAAUGAAGCUUGAGAAGGCCUAUAAUUUUGCAAGAUCUAAAUUUGGCAAAACAUCUAAAACAAUUAUAAAUAGCAAUGAGUUACUUGAUCAGUUUUUUACGUAAAAUAUUUUUCAGACAAAUUCUCUGACUGCAGGUAAAAAAGAUGUGCUUGCAAAAUAUUUGUGAUUACUCAUUUAAAUACAAAAUAUUGAACUAAGAAUGUCCUUCAUUUGGUAGAAUUCACUUUGGGUUUAUCAGUUGUUCCAUCCCUAUAAAAAGAAUAUUUUCCUAAUAAAAAUCAUUGUGAUUACAGAAAAUAUUCUAUUGAUGAUAGCAACAAUUUCAAAUUUAUUCACAUUAUAUUUGGUUUUGAAGAAGACUGCAGAAAAUUUUACAAAAAAAUAAAUAUAUGACCAUUGAAAUACAGUAUUUGGAAAAAUGCCAGUGACAUGGUUUUGGGAUAGAUACAACUAAGAAACUGAUUAAAAGUACAUGCAUAUGUACCAACAAGGUUUACACUGCUUAUUUUAUUUUUUAAUAUUCUGAUAGCCAAGAUAAAGUAGAUUUCCCCCUUUUUGUACAUUUUUAUAUGUUAUUUUUACUUUCUAAGUAGAAUUUUAUUUUAAAAUUAGUUUUAAAUGAAAAUAUAUAGGUCCACCAGUAUAAUAAAGCCGAACUUUAGCACAUAAAUAUUUCAAAUAUUUAUAUUAGUUUAAUUAUUUUAGAGACCUAUAUUUACUGUUGGAGUUGCUUCAGUUCAGAUAAUAAAUAAUGUGGUCUCUCUAACUAAUGGUGGUAAAUAAUAAGGAAAUGAAAUAAGAGAUGGAGGCAGGAGGCAAAAUAUGAAACUGAAGGUGAGGGUAAGGGGUUUUGAUUCUGUGGAACAGACAGACUAGGGAAGAGCUACUUCUCUUACAAUUUGAGGUGCAGGAAAUUGAGCUAAGAUUGAGUUUACCUAUGCCUGGAAUAUUCUAUUAACACAAUAAGGUUCUAGUUUGAACAUGAAAAUAAUGACGAUAAUUAUAAUGUUCUUCCAAACUCUUCCAAUACUUUUAAUUAAUGAGAAGUUUAGUAAGAAUAAGCUUUUUGUCUGAAAGCUUACUAUGCAUCAUAUUUUAGUUCAUUACAGCAUUGCAUUGCCAGCACCUUAUCAGUAAAUUAAUCAUAAUCCCAUACGAUUUUGCAGUCUGAUAAAGAACUUACAUAUGUUUACCCACAACGUGGUACUCAGACCUGAAUUCAGCUGACCAUCCUCCCUUCUUUUUCUAUUUGUUUUAUUGGACUUAAGGCAUUUGACAAUUCCUUUUUUUUUUUUUUUUUUUUGAGACAGAGUCUUGCUCUGUUGCCCAGGCUAGAGUGCAGUGGUGUGAUCUCAGCUCACUGCAACCUCCACCUCCAGGUUCAAGCGAUUCUCCUGCCUCAGCCUCCCGAGUAGCUGGGAAUACAGGCAUGUGUCACCAUGCCCAGCUAAUUUUUUGUAUUUUUAGUAGAGAUGGGGUUUCACUGUGUUCGCAGGAUGGUUUCGAUCUCCUGGCCUCGUAAUCCACCCGCCUCGACCUCCCAAAGUGCUGGGAUUAUAGGCAUGAGCCACUGCGCCCGGCCAACAAUUCUUUUUCCUUAUACUGUCUUAGCAUAAUCCUUCUCACUCAGGUGUUUGCUGCUUAAUCUGUAUUUGGUUUUAGAAUGGCCUGGGCAUAAAUGUGACAUUUAUUCUUAUCCAGUAAUUUUUCAGCCAGCCUUUUGGCUUAAUUUUGGCUCUACUGUUCUAUGAGAAAUUUUCAAUAUUUAAGCAGCAAAACAACAAUUUCAAUAGGUGAAUUUCAACUUAUUGCUUCUUGUCUCAUUUUUUACCUUUCUUGCCACUGUUAAAUACAUUGGGAAUCUCUUUUUUCCUUCCUUAUUUUCCUAAGUAUAGGCAGUCCCAGGGUAUCCUGUAGUAAAAAUAAUUUUUAUGACUUUCAUAUCCUAGGUUUGUCUUAAGUGGCUUCAUGUUAUAUUAAAUUAUUGAUAUGUAAUAUUAUUGAGCACUGUCUACAUUCCAGAUUAUUUUCUAUGAGUUUUACAGUUAUUAACACAUUUUACAGUUAUUAACUCAUUUUUCAAAUAACACUAUAAAGUAGAUGCUGUCAUCAUCCUCAUUUUACAGAUAAGGAAACAGUUACCACUUGUUUAAGAAAUUUCCCCAUAGGCACAGAUAGUAAAUGUUCAUGUCAGAAUUUAAGUUCAGGAACUCUUGUCUAGUAUACUAUACUGCUUUUUACAUUUAAUUCAGGUAAAGAAUGGCUAAAAAAGAAAGAAUGGAGAAUUAACAGAAUGUAGAACCAAAUAGGGCAGAAGCAGUAAUCCCAGUGAAGGAGCUAAUCAUCAGUUAUUUGAUUUAAAUAGGUAUGUGUCGAUUUUAGAACAUUUUCUGGCAAAUAAUAAACAUUCCAGAGAAGUGUCAAAAUGGUGUAGAACUUUGGGGAUCAAGUUUCUACACCGUGAUGGUUUUAGAAGCAUAAUAUUGGAAAGAUCCCCAACCCAGGAUAGGUGGUUUCAAAGCUAGAAGGGGAAAAUGGGGACAGGCCAGUCCCUAAGCAAUAGGGCUUAGAGAAAGAAGAAAAGAGAGCAUGCAUCAUUCAGUAAUCUGAGGUACCUAUCAGGACCCUCUUUUUUCAAGGUAGAAAUAACCUGGAAGACAAGAGUCAAGGAAAGCUCUGAAAUAACAAAGGCCCAUUCAGGAGGGGCUCAAAUAGGUGGCUUCCUCUAGAAACAUUCCAGUGAAACUACUACUUAUUAUCUAUGUUCAAUAUUUGUUGGUAUAGCAGGAAACUUCCACAUUUUUGUUACUGAUUGCAGGCUCAUCAUAAUCAGCUAGGAUAAGGCUCUGAUUGUGAUAAUUAUGAUAAUACUAAGAAAACUUUAUUAUGCAUGCAAAAUAAUCAUAUUCCAGGCAUCUCAAGUGUCUCAAUAUUUUGUUAAUGUAAAAUAAUGUAAAAUUCCAAGAAAAUAGUAAAUACCCUUAAUAGAUAAUCAUGCACAUUUAUUGCAUAUGCUAAAAACCAGAUUUUCCAUAAAUGCUGACUCUUUAUAUAUGAAGUUUUCAGUAAAUUGAAUAUGUAUGAUAACUAAUUGUACAAAAAUUUCAUUUCUAACCUUAUAGAAUAUAAACCAAUUUUAAUCUCUUUGAAUAUAUUUCAGCUCGUAUAUAUAAUAGAACAAAUGGAAAAAAGUGAGAUAAAGGAGUCUCAGAAUAAAAAAACAAUUUUUUCCUUAAAAUUCAAUUAUGUAAAAUGAAUUUGCUUUGCAACAAGAAAAUGUUCCACUUUUAGCCUGUAAGAGCUUAACAUUUUGGCAAUAAUAGCUGUGGUGCACAAAAUAAUACUAUUUGAGCAAGAUCAAGAGAAGGGACAUCCUCAAGGGAUGUAAGGUUCUAAAUUCUUUGGAAAUUUUAGAUGAUUUCAUAGGCAAAGUUUAUUCAUUGACUGUAUGUCACAUGUUUUCCCAUUGUCUGAGGCAAGUAAUAUAUAUAAUAUUUGUGUUAAAAUGGGUUUCUUUCGUAUAUAUACAUAUUAUAUCUAUUGUAUAAGAUAUAUAAUAGGAAGAAUGUUAAUUAUUAGGCUAUAAAUAUUAUUACAGCUUCUAAAUACAUAUCAUUAUAAUUUAAAGUCUUUCAAGUUUUUUGUUGUUGUUAUUUUUAAACUAACGAUAUAUUUUGGGAGCCGACUAUCACUUUUAAAAUACAAUAUGUAGACAGAAAUAUUUUUCUUCAGGUGAAGUGGCCCUAACAAAAAUAUAAAUCUCUGUUCUUGGAGAUUGAAAUAAUGUGAGAUACCAUUUUUCACCUAUUAGAUUGCAGAAACUAAAACUCUUAAUGAUACCCUGUAUUGGCAGGGAUAUACUGGGCGAAAAUUCACUCUUAUAUACUGUUUGUUUGAAAACGAUUGGAUUGGUACAAUUUGUUGGAGAGGCUUUUGUCAACAGACUAAUCACUUAGGAAUGUUUUGGCUGCAAGUAACAGAAAAUUUGACAAUGUGGCUUGAAUAAAUAAGGGUUUUUAAAAAAUACUUCAAACAAUAUGAAGUUAAUUGCUGGUUCAGCAGGUUGAUGAUAACCAGCACCACCUCUUCUGUGAUUUCAUUAGCCUGCCCCUCAUGCAUGUCACCCCAUGGGCUCCAAACAGCUGAUUCACACAUUUUGUUGACUCACACAUUUUUCUCUGUUGCCAAAAACAAAGAAAAGGAGAAAGGGAGAAGGGCUAUGCCAGCUUUUAGAAAAAGAAGGAGAUCUCUAGACAUUUCCCCUCAAAAGACUUUUGCUCAUGUUUCAAGGGUCAGAUAAAGUCCUAUGGCCAUUCCUAGAUUUAAAGGAGACUGGGAAAGCAAGAAUUUGAUUUCCUGUUGCUCUAGUGGGAGGUGACAAAGGAGAAGUAGGUUGAGGAUGGCUUUACAAUGACCAAUUAACAGCAUCUAUAAAAUUAUAAAAACUAUUUUAAGAAAUACAUUUCCUUUGAUUCAGCAAUUUCACAUUCACAAAUGUAUUCUUCAGAUAUAUUUUCAAGGAUAUAGUACAAAAUGUUCAAUGAACGUUUUUCUGGUUGUUUGGAAUUGUAUAAAGCUGAACAUUUGAAGAAAAUUGAUAAUAAUUACUUCAAGAUGCAUCAUUUUUGCCCCAACACACACACUCAUCAACAGAGCUUGAAAACAUAAAUUGUUCCCCUGGCUCUUGCUGUAGAUGGGUUUUCUCUCUCAUCCAAGAAAGAGGGCUCAAAAAGAUUUACUUGUAAUAGGAGUGACAGUAAAAAUUAUAGGAGAACAAGAUCAUACUUCAUAGCAGGAUGCUUGCUGAGUUGCAAAAAUUUGUAGGCUUAUAUUUAAGAUAGGCCUACAAAAAUAAAUUAGAGAAUUAGAAUCUCUUGAAUUGUGGUGUUUGGAGCUCAGUGUGAAAGGUGUCAUAAUGAAACAAUUGUUUCAUUUAUGCUGGGGGAAUUCUGAAUUAUGGAAUCUGGCUGAUUGUAAUGAAAAAAUACAAUCCUUUCUCCUUAUGUUUCAAGGUAGGAAGCAUUAAACUAGAUCUUCAUGGUCCAAUAUGGUAGCCAGUGACUUGUACCUCUCAUGAGUGUUUUUUUUUUCUUUUUUCUUUUUUUUUUUUAAUUAUACUUUAAGUUUUAGGGUACGUGUGCACAUUGUGUAGGUUAGUUACAUAUGUAUACAUGUGCCAUGCUGGUG